UUUUUUUUUUUUGAGACGGAGUUUUGCUCUUUUUGCUCAGGCUGGAAUGCAGUGGCUUGAUCUUGGCUCACCGCAACCUCUGCCUCCCAGGUUCAAGCAAUUCUCCUGCCUCAGACUCCCGACUAGUUGCAGGCAUGCGCCACCACACCAGGCUAAUUUUGUAUUUUUAGUAGAGAUGGGGUUUCCCCAUGUUGGUCAGGCUGGUCUCAAACUCCCAACCUCAGGUGAUCUACCCACCUCGGCCUCCCAAAGCGCUGGGAUUACAGGCGUGAGCCACCACACCCACCCAUGUUUCUUUGUCUUUCUAUUCACUGCACAGUCGCUGAUGAUUUCAAACCCACUGCCUAAAUACAAGAGUAGGUAGCACCACCAGGAACUAGAGACACAAGUUGUACAUUAAGCCGCUCAAAUGAUCCUAAAUCACCACAAACAGACUCUCCAAACACAUGCUUGUCAUUGAAUGGGCAUGUUUCAGGACUGACUGCAUAAUCGAGUUCUCCAGGUUUAUUAAAACAAAAGUCGGCUGGGCGCAGUGGCCCACGCCUGUAAUCCCAGCACUCUGAGAGACCGAGGUGGGAGGAUCACCUGAGGUCAGAAGUUCGAGACCAGCCUGACUAACAUGGAGAAACCCUGUCUCUCCUAAAAACUACAAAAUUAGCUGGGCGUGGUGGAGCAUGUCUGUAAUUCCAGCUACUUGGGAGGCUGAGGCAGGAGACUAGCUUGAACCCGGGAGGCGGAGGUUUUGGUGAGCCGAGAUCAUGCCGUUGCACUCCAACCUGGGUAACAAGAGUGAAACUCUAUCUCAAAAAAAAAAAAGUCACCAGAAUAUGCUAAUGUGAGCAUGCACAUAUGGUAGUAAAACUUAACAGUAUCUACAGCAAUCGUUUAGCACAAGGAGCAAUAUUCUAUCAUUCACCUUGUUUUAGAUUUUUUAGAGUAUGGUGAUAAUAAAAAGCAACCUGGCUUUUGGCCGGGUUCAUUACUGAUUCAAAUCAUGAGCAGUCAAUGCACCCCUUACUGGCCGUCGCAGGACAGACAGUUCCCACUUCUCGCCUUAGUCUGCCACACCCCUGGCACUUCAUUAGCUGUGAGGAAGGGUCCUGCCCGACGCCCCCAGGCCUAACCCUCUGACCUAACCCACAGAUCCUGUGGCUGAAGACUGUUUCAUAUACGCUGGCCCCCACCUGGAGACACCAGACCACCUCGGUCCUCACCCUGACUGUGUCCCGCCUGGGCAACCACCACCCCUGGUCUGAGUAGUGGCAGGGCUGGCCCGAGGAGGAAGUCUCUGGGGAUGAGGACAUUUCUGGCUCUGCCCUGUGACUCCAGGAGGACAUUCGUCAGGGUCCCUCUCACUUUCCCAGCCCAGAUGGCUGUGAGUCCACCCGUCACAGAUGUGCCCCAGCAGCCAAGCCUCAUACCAGCAGGGACACCGUGCCCGGCAGGCAGCCUGGGCCAGCCCGUGCCUGCCCACCAGACUGGUGACCCUAAUCCUGUGUGCAGACAGGGCCAGCCCGAAACCCUCCCUUGCACAAAAGGCCUUUGUUCUGCUGCCCUUCCUCCCUGCCCCCCAUGGCUGCCUUUUCUUCAGCCAGGGAGGAAGGAAGCUCCCUGCCGAGCACACCACCUCCAGGCCCGGUGCCAGCCGUCCCUUCCCAUCCUCAUCCCUGUCCGCAGCUGAGAAGAAACCAGGAAGGCCAGGCGUGGGCUCUGUGUCAAGCCUGAGAGGGUUUGCUCCCGAUGCCACGCGCUAGCUUCGCGAGUCUGGGCUUGCUCCUGCCUCUCUGCAAGCCUACUUCUUGGACAUAGAGGUGUCCUCGUUCCUGGAACAGAUUUGAGCGCAAUAGGAGAUCAUAUCUCCCUCCCUCCUUGCUGUGUCUCCGGCUCCCCAAGCCCCAUCCAGACUCCAGGCCCUGACCCUCACCAAGCCCCGAGCCAGAGCCCUCCUCCC
ensembl:lncRNA